AUAAAAGCGCAUGUCCCCGUCUCGGUAGCCACUGGACACCUGCAUCUGCCAACAAGACCGGAAGCAGAAAGUGACAAAGACGGCGAAGUUUGACAGUCUGGAAAGCGGAGACCAGACGGGCUGACUACCUGAGAGCACCGCGACUCCGGACAGCGCCUCUCGGGGUCCGGGAUGGGACCCGCGAUCUGCUUCAGCACCGGGGCUGCGGACAGCUCCUGGCGGAGGCCCGGGGCCCCUCCGACAUCGUUUCAGCACCCGGACAGCGGACAGCUCCCCGAGAUAAUAAGCAGGCGCGAUGAAACCGCACGUAGAAAUCUGUAAUUCCCAGCAGACUUCCGUGAGAAGCAUUGUGCCAAGCGUUUUGCAUAGAUUCUAUCAUGCCAUCUGCAAUCCUAGGACACGGGUGUUACGAUGCCCAGGAAUGGAAAACAGGAGGCGGUGGAGAAGCAAGAAGCCCGGGUGUUCCGGCUUGGCUCAGUUCCAGGGGCCAAUUACAGGACAGGUGUCCACUCGUGCCUGGUAGUUGUGGCAUCAUCAACGCCCACCCCAAAUUCUCUGUGACAUCCUAAUGAAGUCAGAGACACCACGUCAAGCUCGUUGCAGCCUCAGAGUCCUUGCCUUUGCUGUUCCCUCAGCUUGGAAUGCUCUGCUCCCCAAGCACCCCAAGGCUCCCUCCGCCUUCUUAUCCAAGCCUCAGGUCACCAAGAGAAUCUUGUCUCCCACCCCCCCCCCCAUAGCAAGUCUAUAUUAUACAUUCUCAUAGACACGGGAAAUCUCUCUGGCACCUAGUCCAAUUCUUUUGUCUUAUCUGUUUACAGGGCUGUCUGUCUCCCCCCACUACACUGUGAGCCCCUUGAGGACAGAGACUGUGUUUGUAUUUUCCCAGCACUCAUGCAUGGCCUUGCACACAGCAGGUGCUCAAUAAAUGUUUGUUGAAUCAGUAAAGGCAUCAGAGGAUAAAACAACGUAUCAGUCAAUAAAGGAAUUUAUGGUUUCAGUAUGCAC
rnacentral:lncRNA from 1 species